UGGGGAAUAUUGGACAAUGGGGGCAACCCUGAUCCAGCCAUGCCGCGUGAGUGAUGAAGGCCUUCGGGUUGUAAAGCUCUUUUGGCGGGGACGAUGAUGACGGUACCCGCAGAAUAAGCCCCGGCUAACUUCGUGCCAGCAGCCGCGGUAAGACGAAGGGGGCUAGCGUUGUUCGGAAUUACUGGGCGUAAAGCGAGUGUAGGCGGUUGCCGUAGUCAGGUGUGAAAGCCUUGAGCUCAACUCAAGAAAUGCACUUGAUACUGGGUGACUAGAGGACCGGAGAGGAUAGUGGAAUUCCCAGUGUAGUGGUGAAAUACGUAGAGAUUGGGAAGAACACCAGUGGCGAAGGCGGCUAUCUGGACGGUUACUGACGCUAAGACUCGAAAGCGUGGGGAGCAAACAGGAUUAGAUACCCUGGUAGUCCACGCCGUAAAACGAUGGGUGCUAGACGUUGGCGAGCUUGCUCGUCAGUGUCGCAGCUAACGCGUUAAGCACCCCGCCUGGGGAGUACGGCCGCAAGGUUGAAACUCAAAAUGAAUUGACGGGGGUCAUAGCUG
rnacentral:rRNA from 1 species